rnacentral:lncRNA from 1 species
GAUAGCUUUGGCGCGCGGUACAAAAUUUGAAUUGAAAAUAAUUUUCCGGCUUCUUAAUGUCGUGGUGAUUAUUUCUCAUGCGUUAUAUACGAGGUUUGCGGAACGGAUUAGAAAGAAGGCUAAUAAAAGCCGACAGAAGAUUGAACUAACUGACAAGGAAUGAAGUGGAAGUUGGCUUGCUGAAGUAAAGAAUAGACGCGUGUUUGCUGAGAGAUGGAACAGAAGUAUACUUGUUGAGAAAUCGAAUAAAAGUAGUAUGUUAAUGAUGAACAAAAAAAAUACAAAUAUGCCCAAAGCUGCCGUCCACUCUUCCGUAAGAAGGUAUUCAUGACCGCUAUCCUGUGUCUGCGAUAGGUUUCAAGUAAGGAAUUUGAUGUCGA